AGCUCACGCAAUAAAGCAAGCGCAGGCAGCGCAUCACGUGCGCAUUUAAGUUGCAAGUUACAACGGCAACGUGCCGCUUCCAAAGAUACACAGAUACCGCACAACCGGCACAAGUACAAAUACACACACACACACACAGCCUAGAGAUACUCACUCACACCGGGACAAAAACAGGACUAGUUAGCUCAUGUCAGUGUAAAUUUUACACACAGGCAAAACCUGAUGCCGCAUACAAAAACCCAAGGCUCUCCGCUCCUCACCUUUUUGCGGUUUAUAUUCAAGCGCGCGUGUGCAAUAAAAAGAUAUACACCCAUUCGGGUGUAUACCCAGCAUAACGGAAGUCGAGGCAAGUUUUUGGCAUCCACGGCGGAUGCAGGACCAGGAGGCGCAAGGCAGGAGGCAGGUGGCUCCACAACGGUUGGUGGCAGUCGGGCAGUGGGAGAACACAUAGCUGGCUGCGCUGCAUAAUCAGGCAAAGGCGACGGCGACAACGACAACAUUUAUCAAAUGAAAUGCACGUGCCAAGCGUUUGCCUGGCCCGCUUCCGUGUGGCAACCCGUUCGGAUGGGAUAAGGUCCUUCGAGGUGCCACAGCUCCGGAACUGGCUUGUGCACGAGGGGCGGCAGAGAAGUUGUGCGAAGCUGCAAUAUAUUCACGGGGUGUUUGUGAAAACUCUCGGGACUUGACAGCAUCACUAAAUCAAAUUAAACACAUGAAUUUGUUUAUGGCAAAGAUCUAAUAAU
ensembl:ncRNA lncRNA:CR43631 long non-coding RNA:CR43631